UUUUUGUCUUGCAGGAACUUGUUUUGGGGGUUGUUUGUGUUUUCUUUCCUGAGAUGGUGUCUCAAGAACCCUAGGCUAGCCUCAACCUAUAUUUAGCUGGUCCUCUUUUCUCUACCUUUGAAGUGCUAGGGUCAUAGAUGUAUAACACCAUAGCUCUGUCUUUUUACUUCUAGACACACAGGUUGACCAGAUGUGUGGUCUGGACUCCCCUCUCCCCCUUCCAUUGUGAGGUACCAUAUUCAGCAUAUUCCAACACUUCUAAAAGCAAGACUCCAUACCAAACAGACCAUGGUAGCUAAUGCCUGUGCUCUCAGUCAUAGGAGGCUGAAGCAGGAGGAUGGACAGUUCCAGAGACCUUGGUUGAAUGGAUGAAUGGGUAUCGUCCAAGCACAGAGUUGCAGUUACUGCAGAGGCUAGGCAGCAUAUGUGCCAAGCCCCGUGCUGGCUGCUAUGGUGCACCGCACAGACCUGAAGUCCAUGUAUGUUCUGGCUCUAUGUGGUAAUCUCCCCACCAUGACUGGAGAUAGUGAGUAUGUGCAGGUGAAUGCUGGUGCCCUCAAGGGUCAGAAUCCCCUGGACCUGGAGUUACAGGAGAUUGGGAGCUGCCCUGUGUAGGUCCUGGUACUGAAUGAGGCCUCUGCAAGUGCAGCAGGUACUCUGAACCACUGAGCCAUCUCUCCAGUCCCUGUAAAUACUUUUCAUCUUAACAUCUGGAAGGACCAGCAAGAUAGCUCAGCAGGUAAAGACAC
rnacentral:lncRNA from 1 species